UGGGGAAUAUUGGACAAUGGGGGCAACCCUGAUCCAGCCAUGCCGCGUGAGUGAUGAAGGCCUUCGGGUUGUAAAGCUCUUUUGGCGGGGACGAUGAUGACGGUACCCGCAGAAUAAGCCCCGGCUAACUUCGUGCCAGCAGCCGCGGUAAGACGAAGGGGGCUAGCGUUGUUCGGAAUUACUGGGCGUAAAGCGAGUGUAGGCGGUUGCCGUAGUCAGGUGUGAAAGCCUUGAGCUCAACUCAAGAAAUGCACUUGAUACUGGGUGACUAGAGGACCGGAGAGGAUAGUGGAAUUCCCAGUGUAGUGGUGAAAUACGUAGAGAUUGGGAAGAACACCAGUGGCGAAGGCGGCUAUCUGGACGGUUACUGACGCUAAGACUCGAAAGCGUGGGGAGCAAACAGGAUUAGAUACCCUGGUAGUCCACGCCGUAAACGAUGGGUGCUAGACGUUGGCGAGCUUGCUCGUC
rnacentral:rRNA from 1 species